CGGGAUGUAGCUCAGUUUGGGAGAGCGCGCGGCUGGGGGCCGCGAGGCCGCAGGUUCAAGUCCUGCCACCCCGA
rnacentral:tRNA from 2 species